rnacentral:rRNA from 1 species
AUCAUUGGGCGUAAAGCGCCUGUAGGUUGUUUAGUAAGUCUGUUGUUAAAGACUAGGGCUUAACCCUAGAAAAGCAAUGGGAACUACUAGACUAGAGUAUGGUAGGGGUAGAGGGAAUUUCUAGUGUAGCGGUGAAAUGCGUAGAUAUUAGAAAGAACACCGGUGGCGAAAGCGCUCUACUGGACCAUUACUGACACUCAGAGGCGAAAGCUAGGGUAGCAAAAGGGAUUAGAUACCCCUGUAGUCCUAGCCGUAAACGAUGGAUACUAGAUGUUGCGCUUUGUGCAGUAUCGUAGCUAACGCGUUAAGUAUCCCGCCUGGGGAGUACGCUCGCAAGGGUGAAACUCAAAGGAAUUGACGGGGGCCCGCACAAGCGGUGGAGCAUGUGGUUUAAUUCGAUGCAACGCGAAGAACCUUACCAGGGCUUGACAUACUACGAAUUUUCUUGAAAAAGAAAAGUGCCUUCGGGAAUGUAGAUACAGGUGGUGCAUGGCUGUCGUCAGCUCGUGUCGUGAGAUGUUGGGUUAAGUCCCGCAACGAGCGCAACCCUUAUUUUUAGUUACCAAUUCGUUGGGUUCUCUAGAAAGACUGCCGGUGACAAACCGGAGGAAGGUGAGGAUGACGUCAAGUCAGCAUGCCCCUUAUGUCCUGGGCUACACACGUGCUACAAUGGCUAAGACAAAGAGUUGCGAGCUCGCGAGAGUCAGCUAAUCUCAUAAACUUAGCCUAAGUUCAGAUUGUAGGC